rnacentral:rRNA from 1 species
UGUCCAGAGAUGGGCAUUCCCUUGUGGCCUGUGUGCAGGUGGUGCAUGGCUGUCGUCAGCUCGUGUCGUGAGAUGUUGGGUUAAGUCCCGCAACGAGCGCAACCCUUGUCUCAUGUUGCCAGCGCGUAAUGGCGGGGACUCGUGAGAGACUGCCGGGGUCAACUCGGAGGAAGGUGGGGAUGACGUCAAGUCAUCAUGCCCCUUAUGUCCAGGGCUUCACACAUGCUACAAUGGCCGGUACAAAGGGCUGCGAAGCCGUGAGGUGGAGCGAAUCCUUGGUAAAGCCGGUCUCAGUUCGGAUCGGGGUCUGCAACUCGACCCCGUGAAGUCGGAGUCGCUAGUAAUCGCAGAUCA